AGCUGUUUUUUAGCAGGCUUAUCUGACAAUUAGAUCGAGAAACAAUUCUUUUGGCUGUGCAUUAUCAGAUCUGUUGCAGGUUGACUUACUGGGUGCUGGUGCCUUAUCAAACUCUUUGAGACUGCACGCAUGGCAGGGGUGGCAUAGUGAGCUUACCUAUUAAGGAACAGUUUCAAUUGAAACUCGUGUAUGUAAAAUAUUUCCUAUUGGCAGUGUAAACAGUUUCUUGAAAUUGAUUUUGUUACUCAAAACAUAUGGAUCUGUUUCGUACUUAUAGUAUGUCGAUUUUAAUCUUCAUAUUCUGUUUGCAAGAGGAGAUGGUGUAAAGCAGAUGGGGAAUUCUUAGCUUUUUCAUUGACGAAGAAUUCACUGAAACUAUUGCACAUUUGAAGAAUUGAAUUCUGCAAAUGUCACUGCAGUAUCAAGGAAAGCAGGUUGAGGAGCUUAUCUACAACCUGGCAUACAUAGAAUUUCAAAUUUAUUUUCCGUACUUCAGAUACUCGUACUGUCUGCCCAAGCCAGUAAGGUAGAUUUGAAUUGCAAGUCCAGAAGCUCAUCGUAUUGGUAGGGAAGGGGGUGGAAGAACAUGUUUCAAGGAAAUAGAUCUGUGUAGAAUGCCAAGGCUAGGAAAUGGAGAGUGGAUGUACGAGAAAUCACACUGCUGUGGUGGAAAGACUGUAAAUGCUGCAGAAGGCAAAAUUUCUUGUUUGUCAAAUGGCACUAAGAUCUUUUACUGGGUAGGAUUUUACCCUUGUGGUUUCUGAUAGUUUUCUUUACUUGAUUGGUGGAGGUAUUUGUGUGUUUUGGGCAGCGCAUGGGUGUCCACCGUUUGGUCCUACUGUGCAGAAUUUCGCCGAUCAGAAAUGGAGAAGGAAAAGCAGUAGAAACUGGUCUUCGGCAAAAUGAAUAUGGCUGAGCACACAAACUCUUGAAGAGAAGUCGUCUGUCUUCUGUUAUAAAUAGAUCCUCUGUUGAAUUCGUGUAACUAAAACUUCUGCUGAUUUUCCUCACGUAAUAAAUGUCAUGCAGUCUUCUGAAGAAACAUAGGGUGGAUUUGGUGUCCGUCAUAAAUGUCAUUCCAAGUAACAUUAUGUUGCCCUGUGCAGAACGCGUUUGCAUUGAUGUGCGUCAAGACUCUUUUAGGCCCUGGAUGCUAUUUGGCACUGUUGUGUCUGAGCCUAACUAAAGCAGCGUUUGCUAGUUUGCAAAGAAGUGUUCUUGUUGCUGUUGCUCUCUCUUCUUAAAAAGGUGUUUGGUUAAUCACUUGGGAUUGGUGAGAAAUAUACCGACAAUCCUUUUAAUAAUAAAGACAAUUGGUGAGAGUUCUGUUUGAAAUCCUUAUGCUUUAACAUGCUGAUACUGUACAGCCGGGUAAAUAAGGUUAAAAGAAAAUUUUGAUGUACUUUUGAUGGUAACAAGAUGGUUCGUUUUGCAGAAUCAUGCCUCUGGCUCUCCUACAUGGCGACCCUUCUUAUCACACUAUUCCUUUAAUUCUUUAGUUAUUAUGUUACUUUUCUGUUAUCAUUAUAUUCUUACCAGGACAGGAGGUGAUGUGAACAUUGAGAACUAACUCAAAUAUGUUCCAAUGUUA